GCUUCUUGGUGGGUCAGACGGCGAAGGUAGCAGUUGCCCGGCUCGUCACGGCUUUGUCCCUGGCACGGAUCCUAAUGAGAACUUCAAAGUCUCUGUCACGAAUGGGAGAGUGAAUGUGACUGGUGAAGCUCCUGCUCGUGGCCAUGACUCUGCUAGCCGUUUCUACUCCGGUGACGUGGCUGUGCUCUCCGCUCCUGUUGACCUUCCUAGCCGUCGGGUCAAAACCAUCGCCAAGAACGGUGUGCUUCGCCUCCUCAUCCCUUCAGUUUGAUGAUGACUUCAUGAUGAGACCUUGUGUUCGUUAUCUGAGUAUCUGACGUCUUUCAUCUAGAAUGGACCGUUUUUUCCCGGGAUUGUGUCGUUGUUAUGUGGAUUAUGUCGGUUUAUGUUUUAUGACUACUUUGGAUGAUGUCUCAACGACACAAACUUAUUUUGUCUAACGCUCUACUCUUUAUUGAGUCACUCAAAAUUGUUAUCAGUUUCCAAUUAUGUC